GGCGGUAUGCUUAACACAUGCAAGUCGAACGGUAACAGGCCUUCGGGCGCUGACGAGUGGCGGACGGGUGAGUAACGCGUAGGAAUCUGCCUCAUAGUGGGGGACAACGUGGGGAAACUCACGCUAAUACCGCAUACGCCCUACGGGGGAAAGGAGGGGAUCUUCGGACCUUUCGCUAUGAGAUGAGCCUGCGUUAGAUUAGCUAGUUGGUAGGGUAAAGGCCUACCAAGGCGACGAUCUAUAGCUGGUCUGAGAGGACGAUCAGCCACACUGGGACUGAGACACGGCCCAGACUCCUACGGGAGGCAGCAGUGGGGAAUAUUGGACAAUGGGCGAAAGCCUGAUCCAGCAAUACCGCGUGUGUGAAGAAGGCCUUAGGGUUGUAAAGCACUUUCAAUUGGGAGGAAAACCUGCCGGCCAAUACCCGGUAGCUUGACAUUACCUUUAGAAGAAGCACCGGCUAACUCGGUGCCAGCAGCCGCGGUAAUACGGAGGGUGCGAGCGUUAAUCGGAAUUACUGGGCGUAAAGCGUGCGUAGGCGGUUCGUUAAGUCAGAUGUGAAAGCCCUGGGCUCAACCUGGGAACUGCAUUUGAAACUGGCGGACUAGAGUUUAGUAGAGGGGAGUGGAAUUUCAGGUGUAGCGGUGAAAUGCGUAGAUAUCUGAAGGAACACCAGUGGCGAAGGCGACUCCCUGGACUAGAACUGACGCUGAGGUACGAAAGCGUGGGUAGCAAACAGGAUUAGAUACC
rnacentral:rRNA from 1 species